rnacentral:RNase_P_RNA from 3 species
UGCGUUUUUCGGUUCUCGCGCUACGCGCGAGAUGGAGGAAAGUCCGAACACCCUUCGGCUAAAUACCGGAGAAUCAGGUAGCGGGUAACACCCGCGGGGAGCAAUCCCACGGAAAGUGCAACAGAAAAUACACAACCCAGCCCUAAAGGCCGGGCUAUGAUGAAAUCGUGCGGUAAGAGCGCACGCUUGCGGCAGGCAACUGUCGCAUGUGGCAAACCCUACCUGGUGCAAGGCCGUGCCUUAUCGGAUGUCGGAUUUCGGAUAUCAGAUUUCUGACUUCUGGAAUCCGACGUCUGAUGAGGAGUGCCGCUUGAGCCGCGCAGUAAUGCGCGACCCAGAUAAAUUAUCGUCCUAGACAGAAUUCGGCUUAUUGAUUAGCGAUCAAA